rnacentral:tRNA from 2 species
GGAGAGGUGGCAGAGCGGUUGAAUGCGCCGGAUUCGAAAUCCGGUAUGGACUUCGUGUUCAUCGGGGGUUCGAAUCCCCCCCUCUCCG